GAUGAAGAACGUAGCGAAGUGCGAUAAGUAAUGUGAAUUGCAGAAUUCAGUGAAUCAUCGAAUCUUUGAACGCACAUUGCGCCCGCCAGUAUUCUGGCGGGCAUGCCUGUUCGAGCGUCAUUUCAACCCUCAAGCCCAGCUUGGUGUUGGGGAUCGGCACAGGCGCCCUCGGGCGCCCGCCGUCCCCUAAAUCUAGUGGCGGUCCCGCUGCAGCCUCCUCUGCGUAGUAGUUUUCUCCUCGCAAGGGCAGCUCGGUGGCGACCUCGCCGUAAAACCCCCAACUUCUGAAAGGUUGACCUCGAAUCAGGUAGGAAUACCCGCUGAACUUAAGCAUAUCAAUAAGCGGAGGA
rnacentral:misc_RNA from 1 species